UUUAUACCCAUGUCUCUCCACCCCCUUUCUCCUCCCCCAACCCCAAGAAAAUAGAAGGUACACUCUAUACGGCUCUUCUGAUUCAGUUUUGAUAAAGAGGAAAAUGAGCAAACAAAAUACACUCGAUGCGCAUCUCUUCUUUUCUAGGUUUGAUAAGAGUAAAAUCAGUCUUUACUUCAGUCUUUUUGGAAAGGAAAUCAGCGUGUCUCCACGUUUUUGCAUUACACAUUCCAGUUCUUUGAAAGGAAAAUCGGGCUUCUUUUCUUACUGCUCGUCAAUACAUGCUUUUUACAGCAUUAUCCACUACUGAGAGGGACUUUGUACUGAAAUUUUCUGCUUUAGAAAUAUAUAAUGAGACAAUAGACCUCCAGAAUUGUGCGUCUUGCUCACUUCACCAGUUGAAUGACCAAGAGGUAUUAUUGUAGAAAAACUAGUGGAUGAGAUUGUAAAUGAUGGCCAACAUCCGAGGACCUUAAUUGGUACCUGUAAAGCUCAAAAACAGGUGGGUGAAACUUCUCUAAAUGAUUAAAGCUCAACCUCUCAUCAGACAAUCAAGCUGGCGCAGUAAGCUCUUGAGCAUCAAAACUACCACCAUCAUUCCUAAAGGCGAAAGAAGCUACAUCGAUGAUAAAAUAAAGAAGACAUUGAGAGCUUAAUUAUGGUCAAAGCUAGCUUAAUUCUUUUACGGGAGAGGAAUGUGAUUUAAUAUCUAAAAUAGAGCAUGUGAAACAAAAACAAUAAUUUUUUAGUUCUCUGUGCACAAUUUAAAUCUUUGUGUUUGUUUGUUACUUUUCCUGAUUGAGAACUACAAACCAACUUGACUUUUGGAUUAGAAGGGUGUGAAAUGAUUUAAAUUGAACCUGAUUCUUGAA